rnacentral:misc_RNA from 1 species
UCCGGCUUAUCACCGGCAGUUUCUUUAGAGUGCCCAACUAAAUGGUGGCAACUAAAGACGAGGGUUGCGCUCGUUGCGGGACUUAACCCAACAUCUCACGACACGAGCUGACGACAACCAUGCACCACCUGUGAUCCUGCCCCGAAGGGAAGGUGUGUUUCCACACCUGUCAGGAACAUGUCAAACCCAGGUAAGGUUCUUCGCGUUGCGUCGAAUUAAGCCACAUGCUCCGCCGCUUGUGCGGGUCCCCGUCAAUUCCUUUGAGUUUUAGCCUUGCGGCCGUACUCCCCAGGCGGGGUGCUUAAUGCGUUAGCUUCGGCACGGAAUGGGUUGAUGACCACCCCACACCUAGCACCCAACGUUUACGGCUGGGACUAC